rnacentral:rRNA from 1 species
UACGAAGGGAGCUAGCGUUGUUCGGAAUCACUGGGCGUAAAGCGCACGUAGGCGGAUGUGUCAGUCAGGGGUGAAAUCCCGGAGCUCAACUUCGGAACUGCCUUUGAUACAGCACGUCUUGAGUCCGGAAGAGGUGGGUGGAAUUCCUAGUGUAGAGGUGAAAAUUCGUAGAUAUUUAGGAAGAACACCGGUGGCGAAGGCGGCCCACUGGUCCGGUACUGACGCUGAGGUGCGAAAGCGUGGGGAGCAAACAGGAUUGAGAAACCCC